rnacentral:misc_RNA from 1 species
GAUGAAGAACGUAGCGAAAUGCGAUACUUGGUGUGAAUUGCAGAAUCCCGUGAACCAUCGAGUCUUUGAACGCAAGUUGCGCCCGAAGCCAUUAGGCCGAGGGCACGCCUGCCUGGGCGUCACACGUCGUUGCCCCCCCAUCUACUCCUUCGGGAUUGCGGGGGGCGGAUGAUGGCCUCCCGUGCGCCUCGCCGCGCGGUUGGCAUAAAUGCCAAGUCCUCGGCGACGCACGCCACGACAAUCGGUGGUUGCGAAACCUCGGUUGCCCGUCGUGUGCGGUCGUCGCGCAUCGAGGGCUCGAAAAAAUUGCCGGGUUCCGGCUCGGCUUUCAACGCGACCCCAGGUCAGGCGGGGUUACCCGCUGAAUUUAAGCAUAUCAAUAGCGGAGGAA